GGACAAACAUCUAUUAGUACCCGACAGGGAACCCAAGGCAGAUCAAAGCAGCUGGUGACACCGCAUCCUCAGGCAGGAAACUCAGAUGAUGCUGGUGGCAGCUCACUCUUUCUCAUGCCAGCCACGCCUCCAGCCCACUUAGCGAGCCGUUGAGUUCGUUAGGCUUAUUUACGGGGGCUCGGGGGAGGCGUUACUGAUAGGAGUGUGGUUGCUGUUACGUCAGCUGUAACGUUGGACCGUCCCACCCCAUCAUGAGCGACAACCCUCAUAAGAUAUGUCACGUAUUCCACCUACAGCUGGUCCUUCCACCACCGGCAUCCUCUACCAUCCCUUUAAGAUCAGAGAGAAGAAUGGCUGGGAUCCCUCAUGAAGGUUCUAGCAGCCUGCCUCCCACCUCUCUUCCUGUUAGAUAGUGUAUUAGUGUUCUCUAAAGUAACACACAUACAUACACACAUGUAUAUGUACGUAUACACACAUGUUAUAUGUGUGUUUAUAUUAUAUAUACUUUAACGUAUAUGUUAUAUAUAACAAUAUAUACACUAUCAGUUUUGAUAUAUAUUUAUAUGUGUGUGAUGUAUGUAUGAUUGUGUGUGUGUGUAUUCAUUAGAGUGGCUUGUAGGCUGUGAUCCAGGCAUUACAACAAUGGCUGUCUCCCAGUGGAAAACCCAAGAGUCUGGUGGGUGUUCGAUCCAUAAGAGUGCAUAUCAGUCCCAGUCUGAUGCUGGAGUUCCAGAGGAUUCCUACGGAGCCGCUGGUCUUCUGUCUACAGUGGAAUCCUGAAGGUGUAGCCUGUCAGGCCAGCAAGGGACUGCCUCAGAAGCAGGAUAUAGGAACUUGUCAGUGAGAGCGAGAGAUCAGCAGCAGGAUACAUAAACUUGUCAAUGAGAGCGAGAGAGAAUAAGCAGGAGAAAAAGAGCAAAAGCACCCUUCUUCCGAGUCCUUUUAUGUGGGCUGCCACCAGGAGGCGUGGCCCCGAUGUAGAGUGGAUCUUCUCACUUCAAAUGAUCCAAUCAAGAAAAGUCCCUCACAGCUGGGCUCAGCUGCCCCGGUUUUAGUUACUUCCGGAUGUCAUCUGGUUGGCAGCCAGGAUCAGCCACCACAGGCGGUGGCUGGUGUCAUGUGGCCGGACAUUCUUGAGAAGCUGGACAGACAGAGGGAGCAAGCCUCAGGGUCCAGCUGUCCUCAAAUCAACAAGAGAGACCUGUGGUGCCCUGCAGCAUUGGGCAAGAUGUUCAACAGGUGAGGGAUGCUAGGCAUAUGCUCAACCACCAUCAGAAUGUAAUCCCGUAAGUCGGGAGCAUCUGUACUAUCCUCCAAUGGGACGUCAUGGUAGCUCUAAGAACAGGAGCUGUGCCAGAGGAUUUAUUUUCCUAUAUUUCAUGAGCUCCAUGCUGGAUACCGUGUCUUUUGCUAAUACCAGGAAGAAGCAUGCGCCAUUUGUGAAUUUUUCCCAUGUUCCAGAGGCACAGUGGUAAAUGUGUUUAACAGUACAGAAAAUGGUUAUUUUAAAAAAC
ensembl:lncRNA